rnacentral:rRNA from 1 species
AUACAGAGGGUGCAAGCGUUAAUCGGAAUUACUGGGCGUAAAGCGCGCGUAGGCGGUUUGUUAAGUUGGAUGUGAAAGCCCCGGGCUUAACCUGGGAGGGUCAUUCAAAACUGGCAGACUAGAGUGUGGUAGAGGGUAGUGGAAUUCCUAGUGUAGCGGUGAAAUGCGUAGAGAUUAGGAGGAACACCAGUGGCGAAGGCGACUGCCUGGACCAACACUGACGCUGAGGUGCGAAAGCGUGGGUAGCGAACAGGAUUAGAAACCCGAGUAGUCC